rnacentral:rRNA from 1 species
UACGAAGGGGGCUAGCGUUGUUCGGAAUUACUGGGCGUAAAGCGCACGUAGGCGGCUUUGUAAGUUAGGGGUGAAAGCCUGGAGCUCAACUUCAGAAUUGCCCUUAAGACUGCAUCGCUUGAAUCCAGGAGAGGUGAGUGGAAUUCCGAGUGUAGAGGUGAAAAUUCGUAGAUAUUCGGAAGAACACCAGUGGCGAAGGCGGCUCACUGGACUGGUAUUGACGCUGAGGUGCGAAAGCGUGGGGAGCAACAGG